CGCUAAUGUUGGGUUUGGAUUUGUCUGUUAACCAGACCCGAGUCCCUAACUACGAGGAAGAAGAAGGAUUACAGAGAGAGUCUGACCGAGAGACGAGGGUUUCAAAAUAAUCUUCAUCGAAAUCCAGAGCUGGAAAUGCCUAAACCUCGUUUAGCUCUCAUCUUCCUUCUAUUGCAUCUGUUAAUCCUUCAUCUCACAUCUCCAAUUUCAGCAAUCAGGAAGGAUGCGAGUCUUCAAGGCAAACACAUUUGUAGAACUACAGUUCAAGGAAGAUACUUGCUCUCUGAUGACAAUGGCCAUGUAUGUGAUGCACUAUCAGUGGAUCCAGAGUCUCGUUGCUGCCCUGGAAAAGGAGAGCAAUUUGCUUGUCAUGGAUGCAACCUUGCUUCGCAGUGCUGCAACUCAUACGAAUUUUGUGUUUCAUGCUGCCAGAACCCUGCAAAAACGCAGAAGGAAUUAGCGCUGAAGGUGAAGAUAUCUAAGCCAGCAACUGCAGGGACCUAUUUGAGUGUUUUUGAUUUCUGCUCUGGGAGAUGUCGCCAUAAUUCUGAAAGUGUGGUUCAUGAAAAUGCUUAUUUUAGUGAUUUCCAUCACUGCUUUUCUCUUCCAUCAAAUUAUUCAGGGACUACUGAUGCACUUGUGGAAGCAAGAAUAGCUGGAAUUAAUGUUAUCAUUGGAAGGCAAGGGCAGUCAUGCAAUUCUGUUUGCAAGUCAAAUGGGCAGUCAUGUGUUCCGAACAAACUGUCAAUGCUUAAUCAAUGUGCAAUUAUGCAGAAAUAUAUGAGCUGCAAAGGAGCAUGUUUGGCAAGCAUUGGAGCAGACCAACCUGCUGAAGUUGUCGAUGAUGCGCCUAAAGAUCUGAAUCCAGGAGCGUGCUUAUACACUCGAACACAAUCAAUGCUUUCUUGUGAUGGUUCGCAUCGGCAUACAAGGAGGCUUUGCCCCUGUGCAUAGUUUCAUAAUUUGCUAAGUUUUCUCUUGUACACGCCUCCAACAUCAGUUCUGGGAAUGGUCUAUUUCAAUUAUUGUGUGGUUGCACCACUAAGGCUACAAACUCGAGAGAGGUGGAGCUUUUCAAAACCAUAUCGGCUCUUUGUUGUAGAAGAGCUAUUGAAGCGGGUUUGAAAUUGAGGCAGAUAUUUAUAUAGUGCUUGUAUUUAUAUUAUUAAUUCGUUUUUAAAAGAGAAAAUGCAGCCCAAGGGUAUAUGCACUUAUCACCAUAGAAGAGCCUUUAGCAUAGAAGAGAAAGUCAACAGCUUGUAGAACUAUCUUGAAUGCAAAAAAAAUGGUUUAAAGUACAACAUGAAUAAACUGUUGGAGAAUGGCUGUAA